CCCCCCCCGGGGAGGAAAAAGAACCCCCCCUCUCCCCCCUUCUUUCCGGGGGGGGGCCCCCCCGGGGGGGGAAUUUUUCCCCCCAAAGGGGGAGAAAAUUUUUUUUGAACCACAAACCCCCCCGGGGGGGGAAGGGGAGCCCACUUUUUCGGGGGGUAAAAAACUCUUUUUUUAUAGGGGGAAGAAAAAAAGGGGGGCCCCCAUAUAGAAUAAAACCCCCCGGGUAUAUUUCUGGGCCCAAACACCCCGGGGUAAUAACGGAGGGGGCCAAAGGUUUUUCUGGGAAACCCCGGGGGGGUAAAAGCGCGGCCCAGGGGGCCCUUUAUAAAUUUGGGAUUGGAAAACCCUUCGGGUUCAACCCGUAGAAACUGGCUUCCAAAAAUUGUCAGGGUUAAAGUUUGGGGAGAGGAAAGAUGGAAAUUAGUUGGGUAGGGGGUAAAAUCCGUUAGGGAUAACUUGGGAAUCCCAAAAGGGAAGGCAAUCUUUUUGGAACCAUUACUGACGCUGAGGCCGGAAAAGCGUGGGGAGCAAACGGGAUUAGAUACCCCGGUAGUCCACGCAGUAAACGAUGAAUGUUAGUCGUCGGGUAGCUAGUCUAUUCGGUGAUGCAGCUAACGCAUUAAACAUUCCGCCUGGGGAGUACGGUCGCAAGAUUAAAACUCAAAGGAAUAGACGGGGACCCGCACAAGUGGUGGAGCAUGUGGUUUAAUUCGAAGAUACGCGAAGAACCUUACCUAGCCUUGACAUAUAUUAGAAUCUUUCAGAGAUGAGAGAGUGCCUUCGGGAGCUUUUAUACAGGUGCUGCACGGCUGUCGUCAGCUCGUGUCGUGAGAUGUUGGGUUAAGUCCCGCAACGAGCGCAACCCUCGUCACUAGUUACUAACGGUUCGGCCGAGGACUCUAGUGAGACUGCCUUCGCAAGGAGGAGGAAGGUGAGGACGACGUCAAGUCAUCAUGGCCCUUAUGGCUAGGGCAACACACGUGCUACAAUGGUUGGGACAAUGAGACGCGAUACCGCGAGGUGGAGCAAAUCUAUAAACCCAAUCUCAGUUCGGAUUGUUCUCUGCAACUCGAGAGCAUGAAGCUGGAAUCACUAGUAAUCGUAGAUCAGCUAUGCUACGGUGAAUACGUUCCCGGGUCUUGUACUCACCGCCCGUCACACCAUGGGAGUUGAUUUCACCCGAAGCGGGGAAGCUAAACUGGCUACCCUCCACGGUGGAAUUAGCGACUGGGGUGAAGUCGUAACAAGGUACC
rnacentral:rRNA from 1 species